rnacentral:rRNA from 1 species
UACGAAGGGGGCUAGCGUUGCUCGGAAUCACUGGGCGUAAAGGGUGCGUAGGCGGGUCUUUAAGUCAGGGGUGAAAUCCUGGAGCUCAACUCCAGAACUGCCUUUGAUACUGGAGAGCUUGAGUCCGGAAGAGGUGAGUGGAACUCCGAGUGUAGAGGUGAAAUUCGUAGAUAUUCGGAAGAACACCAGUGGCGAAGGCGGCUCACUGGUCCGGUACUGACGCUGAGGCGCGAAAGCGUGGGGAGCAAACAGG